UGUGAAUGGGACUUUUAUUUUGAUCUGACGGCGUGACGUAAUAAGUCUGCGCCCCGAGCCGCGUCUAUUGUGAAUUGGCUGAAGAAAGGGUGUCCAAACACACAGAAAAACUCCUGCAGUGACUGAGAUCCACGUGACACACUAUUAUAAAGAUGGCGUUUAUUAAGUGGAGAGUGAAGACAUGAAAAUUGAAGAAACAUUCAGUGUGAAACAAGAAGAUACUGAGGAAAAGAAAAAUAUGGUAUUUAUUAAAGAAGAGAGUGAAGACAUGAUGAUUGAAGAAGUAUUCAGUGUGAAACAAGAUGCUGAGGAACAAACAAAUAUGUCAUUUAUUAAAGAAGAGAGUGAAAACAUCAGGAUUGAAGAAGCAUUCAGUGUGAAACAAGAAGAGACUGAGGAACAAACAAAUAUGUCGUUUAUUAAAGAGGAGAGUGAAGACAUCAGGACUGAAGAAGCUUUCAGAGUGAACCAUGAAAAUACUGAGACACAAACAGUUUUACCAUACCAGUUCGAGCCCGAGUCGGAUCCUGAAAAUGCAGAUGAACAAGAUGAUCAGUCGGAACAUCCAUUGCAAGCGCGACUCCAGCAGGAUGUUUCACAGUGGUGCAGAUGUGAAAACUGUAAUAGAAUGCCCAGCGAAGUUGAAAAUGUCUGCUGCAUGGAAAUACCGAAGGUUGGAAGACGAAUGAAUCAGGUUUCAGGGCCUCUGAAAUGCAUUAUACAUCACCCAGGCUUUGAACCGAACUGUUUGAAUCCUUACACCCUGCAGAACAUUUUGAACAUUUACAAAGCUGAUUAUGGACCUUUGAGGCGUAAAACAGAAGAAGCGCGGUACCGUUAUCUUGCCCAUCGAAGCUUUGUCAGCUGGUGCUGGGGCUAUUUAGCACGGAAUAUUAGAGUUGUUCUCCCGUCCUGUGUUGUGCUCCGGAUUCAGCAGGAGUUUCCUGAUGCGGAUGGACAGUUUGUUGGAUUUCGACCGCCCCUUGACUGAACGUGGUGGACAAUAACUUCCUCCUUUGAAGGUUUUUUCAAACUAAGAGGACAGGAAUGUGGGAAUGGGGAUUUCUUUUAGCUGUUCUUCAAAGACGAGCUUCAUCGGGUCUUUUAGAUAAUCUGUAAAACAUUGCAUACAGAAGGAAAUUGUUAUAUUCAUUAAAUUUAAUAUAACCUACCUCUUCAGAACA